GCGCACGGCAUCAGGUGACGCGCAGCACGCAGGUGCGUCGCGUGUCCCACGGCGGUGCGUUCAAAUUGUUUGUUUUAGCAUAAACAGUCUGUUGGAUUCUUCUCGAUACUUUUAUGAACGUAGCCGUCAGCGUCCACAUCACCUUAGUUUAGACUGCUUUCCAAAUGUACAACCCUGAAUGGUGAUGAAAAAAACGAGCUACGAUGGAAGAGGGACUGAGCAACUUCAAAGCCCUGAGGGCCAAGUUUCAGGAAGAAGCCCUCUUGGCUCAAUCAAAAACCACUCGACCAGCUGUUGCAGAGAAACCCAGACACCUUCCACGUCCCGGAGGGCACUACAGCUCUGGGGUCAACAGUAUUAAUAUUGCUGGAGAAAACAAGACCCCAGCGGUCUCCCGGCUCAUCUUCAGAGAUGGGCAGCGGACAUUUGGUGGCACUCGACCAAUUUCCUUUCCACCACAACUUCAACAGACUUGUCCCUCAUCGCAGCUGCCUAAUAAUAGAGACGGCACAACAAGGCAGUCCCUCAAAGAAAGACACAUGCCUCUGGUGCUUCCAAUCCUGCUUGUAAAAGAGCAAAAGACAGAACCGCCAGCCAAAAAUGAGCACAAACUGGAGCCAGGGAAAGAUGUCCUGCCACAAACUAAAAUCAAGAAGAAAGGUUUGCUGCUUCCUUUCAAGUCAGCCAAGGCAUCAAAGGUCAAGGCAGAAAAUGGAGAGGAGCCUACGUACGCUGAUUUGACCAACAGACCUUGCAGUGCUCCCGGUGCGUUGCCUGCUGUGGAAAACCAAACCACAGAAGAAGGGGCUUCGCUCCAAAGUGACCAAUCAACCGCUGAGCUCCCCCUCUCCAGCCCAGAUAUCCCAACCACCCCUCCUUCUGCAGAGACGAGUGUUGACUCCGACAACAUAAUCAUUAGCACCUUGGAGAGGGCCAGGAAGAAGUUUUCACGCAGGCAGAUGUUGAUCUGUGCCAAACCUAAGAACUUGCAUUCCCCCGACUACGUCUCAAGAGACAAGGCGUUUCCUUUACCGCCAAAAAACCUUGUUGAACCUGAACUACCUGUACCCCCACCAGUCUUUCUUCCGCACAUGGCUUAUCUAUCGGCCCGGCCUUUCUUCAAAGUCAACCACUCUGCACGCAAGUCUACGUUGGAUAAGCCGUUGGGCAGAGAUAACGCUCUUCCCUCUGUCAGGACUGGUAAAUCUCUUCCACCCUGUGCUCCGCAAAAGAAGCAUUUACCUGACUUGAGGUCACUGGGUCCAUUGCCACCAAAGCCCCCCAGACCUCCAUUGGUAGAUCUCAGCUGUUACAACCGACACACAGUUAACGAGAUGUCACCAGGUCUUGGCACCUGCGGAGAGCCAGAGGCUGAGCACCCACUCACCGCCAACCCUGUACUAGAUGCCCCAGAGUUUCCAGACUUUGAGAAUUCAGAGAUGAAAACAGCCGAGUGUGAAGCUGUUGACAUUUGUGCGUUAGAACUGGAGGCCUUAGACUUUGUCAACAUUGACCUUCCUGUACCAGAUGACUGCGGGGCCGCCGAUGUUGAGGAUCCCCAACCUGACUUGGCAGUGUGCGAUCCGGUAGAGCCCUAUAUAAGCACCAGCCUCCAGGAUCUGAACCUUGGCAAUCAGAACUUAAUACCCCUCGAUCCAGCCAGCUUCCAUGAACCAAUAAACGGUUCGGAGUUCCCAGAGCCUGCUGUAUGUGAGCAGUGGUCUCAGGGUGAGGAGGUGAGCGUAGAUCCUCUUUCUAGUACUCAAGCUGAUGAGAUUGACCUGGGAGAGACUGAGUCUCACUCUGCUACACAGGAAACUGACAAUGGUGACCACGCAUCAUUGAAUGAUGGGAUUCAACCACAUUCCAAUGUAUCGCAACAGGACAGUUACUUUGAGUCGUGCAAUAAUGUGUAUGAGGAUGUCGAGAACAUCAACAAAUUCAUCUUGGCCCAGAACUCGUGGAAACGAAAAGAUUGUCUGAAGAAUCCAUAUGCUGACAACCACCCUAUGGAGGAGGAGACGGUUCUUAACAUGUGGCCGCAGAAUCCAUGGGGCAUGGUAUCAGAACACGGUCAUUCGGCCCAUAAUCAUGUCCACAGUCUGAAAGAACACCAAAGCCCCAACGCUGCCUGCCAUAAAGAACAGAAGAAGAAGGAAAAGCAUCGACUGGAGAAGCAGAGAAAGGAGCAAAAAGAAAGGGAGAAGAAGGAAAAUGAAAUGAAAAAGAAAUUCAAAGUGAGCGGGGAAGAGGAGCCCAUGUACCACGCCAAGGUUAUGGUGGCUAGCAAGGUUCGCAAGAAUGACCUGCCAGUAAAGAGCGGGGACACCGUCGGCAUCAUUCGCACCACCAGCUGCCCCAAAGGCAAAUGGUUGGCCCGAGACGCCAACAACAAGUACGGCUAUAUUUCAGUGAUGAAUGUCGAACUAAAUAUCAAAGAGAUGCUGGAACUUGGUAAAAAGGCCCAAGCAGCUGGACGCGGUGGCAACAUGGAGGGGGACACCGUCAGCAUUGGAAGCAGAUCUUCUAGCCACCCUGUACUAACAAGCAGUUUCACGGAUGACAGUGAGGAGUGGGCAUGUGAAGAUGAGACCCUCUCACCCCCCAUUGAAAGCCAUAGCGUUCCCCAUCAGACUGCUUCACUCCCCGAGAUGUCCCGUGGCUAUGUCAGCGCCCAGCACACUCUAAACGAUGCCAACCUGGAAGACCUACACACGCACACCAGACACGAGGCCCUGCAGAAACUAGCCAUCUUCUUCCAACAUAGCAAAGAUGAAUUUAGUGACAUUCCUGAUAAUGAAGGAGCAACACCUACAAAUGCUGAGCCAUCAAGUAAGUUUACAGAUUUAUAUCCAGGACUCCACUGUUGUCACCACGUGUCACUCUCACUGAUAAUGGUAGAGCUAAGAGGAGGGUACUUACAAAUCUCUUUUAGGACUCUACAGUCCAGUUGGCGCCCUGCCUGUAAUGGAAAAAGCCUUGUAGGGUACAUUUAUCUGAUUCAUGUAACCAGGAGACAGGUUGCAGAGACGGUUCUGAGUUAAUGUGACAUUUGUAUCUGCUCGUCUUUAUCCAGGCUUCUUGUUUGCUGUUGAGGAGCCUCCAUAUCCUGAACAGGAGGAGGACUUCACAGAGCUGGAGCUCCUUCCUCCCCCACUGCUAUAUGCUGACACCUUCUGAUUACCACGCUGGCU